GAUGAACGCUGGCGGCGUGCUUAACACAUGCAAGUCGAACGAUGAAGCCCAGCUUGCUGGGUGGAUUAGUGGCGAACGGGUGAGUAACACGUGAGUAACCUGCCCUUAACUCUGGGAUAAGCCUGGGAAACUAGGUCUAAUACCGGAUAGGAGCGCCUACCGCGUGGUGGGUGUUGGAAAGAUUUAUCGGUUUUGGAUGGACUCGCGGCCUAUCAGCUUGUUGGUGAGGUAAUGGCUCACCAAGGCGACGACGGGUAGCCGGCCUGGGAGGGGGACCGGCCACACUGGGACUGAGACACGGCCCAGACUCCUACGGGAGGCAGCAGUGGGGAAUAUUGCACAAUGGGCGCAAGCCUGAUGCAGCGACGCCGCGUGAGGGAUGACGGCCUUCGGGUUGUAAACCUCUUUCAGUAGGGAAGAAGCGAAAGUGACGGUACCUGCAGAAGAAGCACCGGCUAACUACGUGCCAGCCGCCGCGGUAAUAC
rnacentral:rRNA from 1 species